UAGGGAAUCUUCGGCAAUGGGGGGAACCCUGACCGAGCAACGCCGCGUGAGUGAAGAAGGUUUUCGGAUCGUAAAGCUCUGUUGUUAAGGAAGAACGAGUGUGAGAAUGGAAAGUUCAUGCUGUGACGGUACUUAACCAGAAAGGGACGGCUAACUACGUGCCAGCAGCCGCGGUAAUACGUAGGUCCCGAGCGUUGUCCGGAAUUAUUGGGCGUAAAGCGCGCGCAGGCGGUCACUUAAGUCCAUCUUAGAAGUGCGGGGCUUAACCCCGUGAUUGGAUGGAAACUGGGAGACUGGAGUAUCGGAGAGGAAAGUGGAAUUCCUUGUGUAGCUGUGAAAUGCGUAGAUAUUAGGAAGAACCCCGAUGGCGAAGGCGACUUUCUGGACGAAAACUGCCGCUGAGGCGCGAAAGCGUGGGGAGCAAACAGG
rnacentral:rRNA from 1 species